rnacentral:rRNA from 2 species
CAUUUGCCUUUUGUGAUACGCUUUCAAAGAGUCAGGUUGUUUGGGAAUGCAGCCUAAAUUGGGUGGUAAAUCUCACCUAAAGCUAAAUAUUGGCGAGAAACCGAUAGCGAACAAGUACCGUGAGGGAAAGAUGAAAAGAACUUUGAAAAGAGAGUUAAACAGUAUGUGAAAUUGUUAAAAGGGAACCGUUUGGAGCCAGACUGGCUUGUCUGUAAUCAAUCUAGGCUUCGGCCUGGAUGCACUUGCAGGCUAUGCCUGCCAACGACAAUUUGACUUGAGGGAAAAAACUAGGGGAAAUGUGGCCCACUUGUGGGUGUUAUAGUCCCUUAGAAAAUACCUUGGGUUGGAUUGAGGAACGCAGCGAAUGCUUAUUGGCGAGUUUUCCAGGAAGGUUUUCUGAGGUACUACGGUAUCAAGGUUGAUCUUU